CUUUGACUAGCAAGGGAGGAGGACUGGCUCUUGAGGUGCCUGAAUUGAGACACCUGGGGCCUGAUUUGCGUAAAUGCUGAGCACUCACAGCUGCAAUUGAAGUCAAUGGGAGCUGUGGAUACUCAUCAUAUCUACUAAUAAGCUGCAGCAGUUCUCCAGGUCCAGGCUUCUGGAGUCCGUCAGUCUUCAGCGGAGGGAGUGCUGAUAAUACCAACCAUAUGGGCCAAAGGGGAUCUGAAGAGGCGGAUGGGCUGCAGCAAGGGAAGGGAACUGAGAAGAGAAAUAAGUGAUUGUGCCAGUGUCCACUGUCCCUGCCCCAGGCACGAGUUCUUGAGCUCUGCUGGAACUGUCCUUGAGCAAAUCUGUAAUGAAUAUACCUCCAAGACCAAAUAAAGGAAUUGGGAUGUUCCUCGG